AUUGAACGCUGGCGGCAGGCUUAAUACAUGCAAGUCGAGCGAGCGGCGGACGGGUGAGUCAUGUCUGGAAAAUUGCCUGAUGACGGGGGAAAACUACUGGAAACGGUAGCUAUUACGGCUUACCAUCAGAUGUUCCCAGAGUGGAUUGUCUAGUAGGUGGGGUAAUGGCUCACCUAGGCGACGAUCCCUAGCUGGUCUGCGAGGAUGACCAGCCACACUGGAACUGAGACACGGUCCAGACUCCUACGGGAGGCAGCAGUGGGGAAUAUUGCACAAUGGGCGAAAGCCUGACGCAGCCAUGCCGCGUGUGUGAAGAAGGCCUUCGGGUUGUAAAGCACUUUCAGCGAGGAGGCGGUACUUAAACAGGAAGCACCGGCUAACUCCGUGCCAGCAGCCGCGGUAAUUC
rnacentral:rRNA from 1 species